rnacentral:ncRNA from 18 species
UAUGUCCGCUGGGGGAGCCUGAAAAGGCUGAGACGGCAGAAAUGCCGAACCCUUGGAACCUGAUGAGGGUAAUGCCUCCGUAGGGAAUGCGGGCUCAAAAGGCA